rnacentral:rRNA from 1 species
UACGAAGGGUGCAAGCGUUAGUCGGAAUUACUGGGCGUAAAGCGUGCGUAGGUGGUUUCUUAAGUCCGUUGUGAAAGCCCUGGGCUCAACCUGGGAACUGCAGUGGAUACUGAGAGGCUAGAGUGUGUCAGAGGAUGGUGGAAUUCCCGGUGUAGCGGUGAAAUGCGUAGAGAUCGGGAGGAACACCGGUGGCGAAGGCGGAUCUCUGGGCCUUGCCUGACGCUGAGGCGCGAAAGCUAGGGGAGCGAACAGG